rnacentral:rRNA from 1 species
GAACGAACGCUGGUAGCGUGGAUUAGGCAUGCAAGUCGAACGGGAUCGGCCGGUUAGCAAUAAUUGGCCGUGAGAGUGCGGAUUGGGAGACACGUGAGCAACCUGCCUUUGAGUCGGGGAAAACCGUUGGAAACGACGGCUAAUACCGGAUGUGGCGCCCGGUGACAUCACUGGAGCGCUAAAGGGGGCCGCAAGGCUCUCGCUCGUAGAGGGGCUCGCGCACCAUCAGCUUGUUGGCGGGGUAACGGCCCACCAAGGCCUACGGUUAGCUGGUCUGAGAGGAUGACCAGCCCCACUGGGACUGAGAUACUGCCCAGACUCCUACGGGAGGCUGCAGUCGAGGAUCAUUUGCAAUGGGCGAAAGCCUGACAAUGCGACGCUGCGUGGAGGAUGAAGGCCUUCGGGUUGUAAACUCCUGUCAUGGGGAACAGGCGAGGGGCCCAAUACGUCCCUUAGUUGAGUGUACCCCAAGAGGAAGGGACGGCUAACUCUGUGCCAGCCGCUGC